rnacentral:lncRNA from 1 species
AGCAGCACCUCAGGCGCCUCCAGUUGCCCCUCCACCUCAGGCGUCUCCAGUUGAUCAUCCAGUUGGGCCAAUCACUCGGGCCCGUGCGAGAGAAUUAAACUUCAUCAUGCUGUUAAGGAACGAAGGCCCAGCGAAAUAAGAAGAUGGCCCAACAGGGCAGCCCAGGUGGGGCACCUAGGGUUGGGAGCCGCGGCCCUCCCCCUGGUCGCGCCCCCCUCCUGCCGUGGCGCCUCCUCCGGACUCAAGGGGCUGCACCCCCUUUAUUUAGUCGGAGUCCCUUUUGUUUACGACUUGAGUUUUGUUUUACAUCUAGCUUUAGCUACUCUCGAACAUGCGCAAAUACG